rnacentral:rRNA from 1 species
UACGAAGGGGGCGAGCGUUGUUCGGAAUUACUGGGCGUAAAGGGCGCGUAGGCGGCACGGCAAGUCGGGAGUGAAAGCCCGGGGCUCAACCCCGGAGGGUCUUCCGAAACUGCCGAGCUAGAGUGCGGAAGAGGCAACCGGAAUUCCCAGUGUAGCGGUGAAAUGCGUAGAUAUCGAGAGGAACACCAGUGGCGAAGGCGAGUCCCUGGACAACUCCUGACACUGAGGCACGAAAGCUAGGGGAGCAAACAGG